rnacentral:lncRNA from 1 species
CGCGUGCGCUGGUGGCGGCCACACUGGACUUGCGGUGGCAGGGACGUCACGCUGUGGGGUUCUGAGACAUCGGGCGGGGGAGGGCACUGGGCUGUGAGCAGCUGGUCGGGGAGUCCGGGAGGGCCAACUCCGCCGAGCCAGGGUCACCCAGACCCCCGGACCAGAGCGCAGAGGCCUCGCUGGCGCCGGGGAAGUUACAAGGGUCUGAACUAUGGCAAUGUCAGGAGGGCCAGGGAGGAGCAUGGGGAGCAUCUUUUUGGGAAGUUGUUGGGAAAUAAUCAGAGGUCAUCCCGUGUCUGAGAUGGACUGCUAAACUUCACUCCGGCCUGAUCUCCCAGGUUUUAUUCUUUCACUCAGCAGACCAUUUCCUGAAAGCCUAUGAACAGAUCCUAUGAUUGAGGGGAGACUGUUCAGACUCCUCCCCUGGAAGGAGCUCUGAGCUUUGGGCAACGACUGUCCUGCGGCGAGUAACCCUAAGUGACACCAGCAUUGUACCAAGACACUUUUGCCGGGCGCAUUUUAUGCGAAUCUAACCUUUGUAAAACUCUGUAAGGUAAGAACUAUAAGGAUCCCCAC